GUUUGAUCAUGGCUCAGAUUGAACGCUGGCGGAAUGCUUUACACAUGCAAGUCGAACGGCAGCACGGGUGCUUGCACCUGGUGGCGAGUGGCGAACGGGUGAGUAAUGCGUCGGAACGUACCGAGUAAUGGGGGAUAACGUGGCGAAAGUCACGCUAAUACCGCAUACGCCCCGAGGGGGAAAGCAGGGGAUCGCAAGACCUUGCGUUAUUCGAGCGGCCGACGUCUGAUUAGCUAGUUGGUAGGGUAAAGGCCUACCAAGGCGACGAUCAGUAGCGGGUCUGAGAGGAUGAUCCGCCACACUGGGACUGAGACACGGCCCAGACUCCUACGGGAGGCAGCAGUGGGGAAUUUUGGACAAUGGGGGCAACCCUGAUCCAGCCAUUCCGCGUGAGUGAAGAAGGCCUUCGGGUUGUAAAGCUCUUUCAGCCGGAAAGAAACGGUACGCUCUAACAUAGCGUGCUAAUGACGGUACCGGCAGAAGAAGCACCGGCUAACUACGUGCCAGCAGCCGCGGUAAUACGUAGGGUGCGAGCGUUAAUCGGAAUUACUGGGCGUAAAGCGUGCGCAGGCGGAUUAUUAAGCAAGACGUGAAAGCCCCGGGCUUAACCUGGGAAUGGCGUUUUGAACUGGUAGUCUAGAGUGUGUCAGAGGGGGGUGGAAUUCCACGUGUAGCAGUGAAAUGCGUAGAUAUGUGGAGGAACACCAAUGGCGAAGGCAGCCCCCUGGGAUAACACUGACGCUCAUGUACGAAAGCGUGGGUAGCAAACAGGAUUAGAUACCCUGGUAGUCCACGCCCUAAACGAUGUCAACUGGGUGUUGGGGGAGUGAAAUCCCUUAGUAACGAAGCUAACGCGUGAAGUUGACCGCCUGGGGAGUAC
rnacentral:rRNA from 1 species